AUAUUUCAGCAGCACAUAUACUAAAAUUGGAACGAUACAGAGAAGAUUAGCAUGGCCCCUGUGCAAGGAUGACAUGCAAAUUCGUGGUGUUCCAUAUUUUU
ensembl:snRNA U6 U6 spliceosomal RNA